UCGAGAAUUUUUCUCAAUGGGGGAAACCCUGAAGGAGCGACGCCGCGUGGAGGAUGAAGGCUUUCGGGUUGUAAACUCCUUUUGUUGGGGAAGAACACAAUGACGGUACCCAACGAAUAAGCUCCGGCUAACUCCGUGCCAGCAGCCGCGGUAAUACGGAGGGAGCGAGCGUUGUCCGAAGUUACUGGGCGUAAAGCGCGCGUAGGCGGGAAAUUAAGUGAGAAGUGAAAGGCUGGGGCUUAACCCCAUGCAGUGCUCCUCAUACUGGUUUUCUUGAGGGUGGUAGAGAGAAGUGGAAUGGCUGGUGUAGCGGUGAAAUGCGUAGAUAUCAGUCGGAACACCAGUGGCGAAGGCGGCUUCUUGGGCCAUUACUGACGCUGAGGCGCGAAAGCCAGGGGAGCGAACGG
rnacentral:rRNA from 1 species